AGGACGAACGCUGGCGGCGCGCUUAACACAUGCAAGUCGAGCGAGAACCUUUCCUUCGGGAUUGGGGACAGCGGCGAACGGGUGAGUAACACGUGGGUAAUCUGCCCUUGACAUCGGGAUAGCCCGGGGAAACCCGGAUUAAUACCGAAUAGCCUCCGGAGCCCUCGGGCGCCGGAGAAAAGGUAGCUUCGGCCUCUGGUCAAGGAUGAGCCCGCGGCGGAUUAGCUUGUUGGCGGGGUAAUGGCCCACCAAGGCGACGAUCCGUAGCUGGUCUGAGAGGACGAUCAGCCACACUGGGACUGAGACACGGCCCAGACUCCUACGGGAGGCAGCAGUGGGGAAUCUUGCGCAAAUGCGGGAAACCGUGACGCAGCGACGCCGCGUGGGGGAAGAGGCCCUAGGGUUGUAAAGCUCUUUUGUGCGGGAAGAUAAUGACGGUACCGCAAGAUAAGCCCCGGCUAACUUCGUGCCAGCAGCCGC
rnacentral:rRNA from 1 species